CACCAGGUUGAUUCUGCCUGACGUGGAUGCUAGUCUCAUAGGUUAAGCCAUGCAUGUGCAAGCGAAGCGUAAGUGGAGCGGCGCAAGGCUCAGUAACGGGCGAGUAUUUGAUCUCCUAGAGUGGAUAUCCUCUGUAACCGGAGGGCAAAACACAAGAUGAGCGAUUGACGAGGUCGUUCGUUUAACGAAUAGUGUAGGAGAGUAAGAAGCCAUCCCAUCAGUUAGUAAGUAGGGUAAGGGCCUACUUAGACGAAGACGGGUACGGGGAAUUAUCGUUUGAUUCCGGAGAGGGAGCCUGAGAGACGGCUACCAGGUCCAAGGACAGCAGCAGGCGCGAAAAUUACCGCAGCCUGCAUUCAGGGCGGUAGUAAGGAGACGUGAAAACAAUGUGCGGGCAAAAAACGCACUAGAUACAGGAGGACAAGACUGGUGCCAGCACCCGCGGUAAUACCAGCUCCUGGAGUGUCUAUGAUAUGAUUGCUGCAGUUAAAGAGUUCGUAGUCGAAGUGGUUAUAACGGUGUAACAGGCCUUCUCUCAAGGAGGGUUAUGCGCCGUGAUUCCAUGGAAUAAGGAGCGUUUAGGGGCCAGGUUAUUAAGCGACGAGGGGUGAAAUCUGGUGACUCGCUUAGGAGCAACAGAGGCGAAAGCGCUGGCCAGGAGCGAAUCCGAUGAUAAAGGACGUAGGCUAGAGGAUCGAAGACGAUUAGAGACCGUUGUAGUUCUAGCAGUAAACGAUGCCGAUACCGUGGUGCGGAUACGCGACGCGGAAGAGAAAUCGAGUAGGGCCCUGGGGAGAGUACACGCGCAAGCGAGAAAUUUAAAGGAAAUUGACGGAAGAACACCACAAGGAGUGGAGUGUGCGGCUUAAUUUGACUCAACGCGGGACAGCUUACCAGGCCCGACGGCCGGACGAGUGUUGUACACGAUAGGUCGAAGAGUGGUGCAUGGCCGUUAACGACGAGUGAGGUGACUUUUGGGUUAAAUCCGGGAAGUAGUGAGACCCCUACCGAAAGGGACAGGUGCCGAAAGCACAGGAAGGAAGGGUCAAGAACAGGUCAGUGAUGCCCUCAGAUGGUCUGGGCUGCACGCGCACUACAGUGGUCAUAGAAAUGAAACGAUAGAAUUAAAGAUGAUCGAGAGGGAAUGAGCUUUGUAAGAGGCUCAGGAACGAGGAAUUGCUAGUAAUCGCGGACUCAUUAAGACGCGAUGAAUACGUCCCUGUUCUUUGUACACACCGCCCGUCGUUAUCGAAGAUGGAGUCAGGCGCGAACAAGCGAGAGCGAGUGAGUGCAGGAUUCUAGAUGUGAUACAAGUCGUAACAUGGUUGCUGUUGGNNNNNNNNNNNNNNNNNNNNNN
rnacentral:rRNA from 12 species